rnacentral:rRNA from 1 species
AGUAAAUAGAUACCCAGGUAGUCCACGCCGUAAACGAUGUCGACUUGGAGGUUGUGCCCUUGAGGCGUGGCUUCCGGAGCUAAACGCGUUAAGUCGACCGCCUGGGGAGUACGGCCGCAAGGUUAAAACUCAAAUGAAUUGACGGGGGCCCGCACAAGCGGUGGAGCAUGUGGUUUAAUUCGAUGCAACGCGAAGAACCUUACCUACUCUUGACAUCCAGAGAACUUAGCAGAGAUGCUUUGGUGCCUUCGGGAACUCUGAGACAGGUGCUGCAUGGCUGUCGUCAGCUCGUGUUGUGAAAUGUUGGGUUAAGUCCCGCAACGAGCGCAACCCUUAUCCUUUGUUGCCAGCGGUUAGGCCGGGAACUCAAAGGAGACUGCCAGUGAUAAACUGGAGGAAGGUGGGGAUGACGUCAAGUCAUCAUGGCCCUUACGAGUAGGGCUACACACGUGCUACAAUGGCGCAUACAAAGAGAAGCGACCUCGCGAGAGCAAGCGGACCUCAUAAAGUGCGUCGUAGUCCGGAUU